GAUGAACGCUGGCGGCGUGCCUAAUACAUGCAAGUCGAGCGAACAGACGAGGAGCUUGCUCCUCUGACGUUAGCGGCGGACGGGUGAGUAACACGUGGAUAACCUACCUAUAAGACUGGGAUAACUUCGGGAAACCGGAGCUAAUACCGGAUAAUAUAUUGAACCGCAUGGUUCAAUAGUGAAAGACGGUUUUGCUGUCACUUAUAGAUGGAUCCGCGCCGCAUUAGCUAGUUGGUAAGGGAACGGCUUACCAAGGCAACGAUGCGUAGCCGACCUGAGAGGGUGAUCGGCCACAAUGGAACUGAGCCACGGACCAGACUCCUACGGGAGGCAGCAGUAGGGAAUCUUCCGCAAUGGGCGCAAGCCUGACGGAGCAACGCCGCGUGAGUGAUGAAGGUCUUCGGAUCGUAAAACUCUGUUAUUAGGGAAGAACAAAUGUGUAAGUAACUAUGCACGUCUUGACGGUACCUAAUCAGAAAGCCACGGCUAACUACGUG
rnacentral:rRNA from 1 species